AACGAACGCUGGCGGCAUGCCUAACACAUGCAAGUCGAACGAGACCUUCGGGUCUAGUGGCGCACGGGUGCGUAACGCGUGGGAACCUGCCCUUAGGUUCGGAAUAACUCCCCGAAAGGGGUGCUAAUACCGGAUAAUGUCUUCGGACCAAAGAUUUAUCGCCUUUGGAUGGGCCCGCGUUGGAUUAGCUAGUUGGUAGGGUAAAAGCCUACCAAGGCGACGAUCCAUAGCUGGUCUGAGAGGAUGAUCAGCCACACUGGGACUGAGACACGGCCCAGACUCCUACGGGAGGCAGCAGUGGGGAAUAGUGGACAAUGGGCGAAAGCCUGAUCCAGCAAUGCCGCGUGAGUGAUGAAGGCCUUAGGGUUGUAAAGCUCUUUUAACCGGGAUGAUAAUGACAGUACCGGGAGAAUAAGCCCCGGCUAACUACGUG
rnacentral:rRNA from 1 species